CUAACCUCUAUUAUUAAGUUGACUCAUACUUAUAGAAGAUUUUCUGUGAUAUAAAAAAAAUUAUAUAUAUACAUAAAUAUUUAAAAUCAUGUUUUUAACCAAUAUUUUAUUAAAAAAAAAUAAAAGCAAGUAAAAAAAUUUUAGUAUUAGUAGAAAGUAUAGCAAGUGGUCACAAGCUUAUAAGAAUUCGAGACAGAGUGGCUGAUAAAUUGGAAGAAGUAUAUUUUGAUCCUUAUGUUCAAGCUAAAGU